AUGUCUUUUGUGGCCCUUGCUGGGGCCUGCUUUUCUUUUAUUCUUCCUGUCUCCUACAAGCUAGUAUAUCAAUAUAUAAAGAUUUCAUUUUAUUAUUUAUCUAUUUUUGGCUGUGCAGUGCAGCCUCUGGGACCUUUGUUCCCUGAUCACGGAUUGAACCCAUGCCCCCUGCAGUGGAAGUUCAGAGUCUUAAACAGCAGACUGCCAGGAAAGUCCCUAAAGAUUUUAAACAAGAGACCCAGUAACUGCAUCUAAAACACCCGUCCAGACCCCAUGUCUCUGGAGUGGGGACAAUGGACAUAAACUAGUUGGAGUUGUGCUUGGGGGUCGACACCAGCACCCAAAUGAGAAGAACAGAAACAUUUCCUGGAUACUUCACGUAGUAACUUGUGAGCAAUUUAACAGCAAACAGUUUACCUAUAAUAAUCUCCAUAUCAUUGCUCUUAAUUAUUCUACUAAUUUAAAACUUUCUGUUUUUGUAGGAAAAAAAAUAUCCUGGGGAAGCCACUAAUCGCUGCCAGUUGGCAGACUAGAGAAAACAUGAAGCUGGGAAUGUGUGAGUUACAAUUCGUCAUAAUUCCAGGCUCUGUAUGCAGACAGACAUAGAAAAUGUGGGCAAUUAAGUAAUUGAAGCAAAACCUUAUCUAUCUUUCUUUUUAUCUGAGCUUCUGGCCAAGAUAAACUUGAAAGGAAGAGUGUGUGGGCUUAUAAAAGUGAAUCAGAGGGUGGGGCUAAGAAAAGGGUGGUGCUAAAAUUGCUAAAAAUUACUCCUACAGUUCAGAGUUAAUUAACUCAGCCACAAUCUCUUACUAAAGGAACCCACUGCCAAUUCUGCUCCAGUGGAAGAAAGCAAGGUGUUGUAAAUAUGUCUCUGUUUAAAAAUAUUUAUUUAUGUUUUCUUUCUUCAUUGAAGUGCUUAGCUAAAUAACAAGUUAUCAAGACUUCCACAGAACAGAAAUGAUAGUUGAAGGCCAUCCCCCAAGAAUUCUGUGCAAGUCUGAGAGAUUUAACCCUGAACUGACUCAAAGAUUGUGCUGGAAAAAGGCUAAGCAGGAGAGCACCUUCAUUUCCAAAGAUGUGAGAGAGAUGGUUUUACCAUGAAUUGUUAAACCAUGAAUGAUGUUUUCUCCAGUCACAUUUUUGGAUUUGCAACCUUUGUAUCUGUCAACAGAGGCAAAAAGAAAUAGGAUAGUCUCAGAAUGAUUGAACCAAAACCCUUCUACCCCUUCAAAAGAUUGGACAUGGCAACAUAAAC
rnacentral:lncRNA from 1 species